rnacentral:rRNA from 1 species
UAAUACGGAGGUAGCGAGCGUUGUUCGGAUUUACUGGGUGUAAAGGACAUGUAGGCGUCUUAUUAAGUCGGAUGUGAAAUCCUUUGGCUUAACCAAAGAACUGCAUUCGAUACUGGUAAGAUUGAGUACUGGAGAGGUAAGCGGAAUUCCGGAAGUAAGGGUGAAAUCUGUAGAUAUCCGGAAGAACACCAUUAGCGAAGGCGGCUUACUGGCCAGAUACUGACGCUGAGGUGUGAAAGCUAGGGGAGCGAACAGGAUUAGAUACCCUGGUAGUCCUAGCUGUAAACGAUGGGCACUAGGUGCAGGUCCGCAAGGGGCUGUGUCGUAGCUAACGCGUUAAGUGCCCCACCUGGGGACUACGGUCGCAAGGCUA